rnacentral:rRNA from 2 species
UUGACCUCAAAUCAGGUAGGACUACCCGCUGAACUUAAGCAUAUCAAUAAGCGGAGGAAAAGAAACUAACAAGGAUUCCCCUAGUAACUGCGAGUGAAGCGGGAAAAGCUCAAAUUUGAAAUCUGGCAGUUCUUUUGACUGUCCGAGUUGUAAUCUAGAGAAGUGUUACCUGUGCUGGACCAUGUACAAGUCUUCUGGAAUGGGGCAUCAUAGAGGGUGAGAAUCCCGUCUUUGACAUGGACUACCAGUGCACUGUGGUGCGCUCUCAAAGAGUCGAGUUGUUUGGGAAUGCAGCUCAAAAUGGGUGGUAAAUGCCAUCUAAAGCUAAAUAUUGGCGAGAGACCGAUAGCGAACAAGUACCGUGAGGGAAAGAUGAAAAGAACUUUGGAAAGAGAGUUAAACAGUACGUGAAAUUGCUGAAAGGGAAACGCUUGAAGUCAGUCACGUUGGCUAGAAAUCAGCCUUGCUUUUGCUUGGUGUACUUUCUGGUUUGAUGGGUCAGCAUCGAUUUCUUUGACCAUUGGAUAAAGUCUUUGGGAAUGUGGCAUCUUUGGAUGUGUUAUAGCCCAUUGUCGCAUAUGAUGGUUGGGAUCGAGGAACUCAGCACGCCGCAAGGCCGGGUUUAUACCACGUUCGUGCUUAGGAUGCUGGCAUAAUGGCUUUAAUCGACCCGU